GGGCUCGCAGAUUCCAGCUGGCAAUGGCGAAGGAGUCGACGAACGGCGAUCAGCACCACGCGGUGGCGAAGCCGCCCCCUUCUCCGUCCCCGCUUCGAUUCUCCAAAUUCUUUCAGGCGAAUUUGAGGAUUCUAGUUACUGGAGGAGCUGGAUUCAUCGGAUCUCAUCUCGUGGACAAGUUGAUGGAGAACGAGAAGCAUGAGGUAAUUGUU
rnacentral:misc_RNA from 1 species